rnacentral:rRNA from 1 species
ACGCACGCUGGCGGCGUGCUUAACACAUGCCAGUCGAACGGAAAGGCCCUGCUUUUGUGGGGUGCUCGAGUGGCGAACGGGUGAGUAACACGUGAGUAACCUGCCCUUGACUUUGGGAUAACUUCAGGAAACUGGGGCUAAUACCGGAUAGGAGCUCCUGCUGCAUGGUGGGGGUUGGAAAGUUUCGGCGGUUGGGGAUGGACUCGCGGCUUAUCAGCUUGUUGGUGGGGUAGUGGCUUACCAAGGCUUUGACGGGUAGCCGGCCUGAGAGGGUGACCGGCCACAUUGGGACUGAGAUACGGCCCAGACUCCUACGGGAGGCAGCAGUGGGGAAUAUUGCACAAUGGGCGGAAGCCCGAUGCAGCAACGCCGCGUGCGGGAUGACGGCCUUCGGGUUGUAAACCGCUUUCGCCUGUGACGAAGCGUGAGUGACGGUAAUGGGUAAAGAAGCACCGGCUAACUACGUG